AUUGAACGCUGGCGGCAGGCCUAACACAUGCAAGUCGAGCGGAUGAAGGGAGCUUGCUCCUGGAUUCAGCGGCGGACGGGUGAGUAAUGCCUAGGAAUCUGCCUGGUAGUGGGGGAUAACGUCCGGAAACGGGCGCUAAUACCGCAUACGUCCUGAGGGAGAAAGUGGGGGAUCUUCGGACCUCACGCUAUCAGAUGAGCCUAGGUCGGAUUAGCUAGUUGGUGGGGUAAAGGCCUACCAAGGCGACGAUCCGUAACUGGUCUGAGAGGAUGAUCAGGCACACUGGAACUGAGACACGGUACAGACUCCUACGGGAGGCAGCAGUGGGGAAUAUUGGACAAUGGGCGAAAGCCUGAUCCAGCCAUGCCGCGUGUGUGAAGAAGGUCUUCGGAUUGUAAAGCACUUUAAGUUGGGAGGAAGGGCAGUAAGUUAAUACCUUGCUGUUUUGACGUUACCAACAGAAUAAGCACCGGCUAACUUCGUG
rnacentral:rRNA from 1 species